UUUUGCUUCCUCCCCACGCUCCCCAUGCGCCGCCUCCAGCGCCGGGGCUGUCGUUGCCCUGUCUCCUCACUCUCCUCCUCCCAACGCCCCCUGCGCCGCCGCCCUCGCCGUGGCCGCCGCCCGCUCUCCUCGGUGGCCACCACGUGCAGCGAUUUCUCCUCAUCGACGGCCACCACCACGUGCAGCAGUUCCUCCUCAACGACGGCCACCACGUGAGGCGCUUUCACCUCAACGAGGGGCCUCCCAUCUCAAAUUGAACCAGCAAAUUGAACCACAUCCAUCAAUAAGAUGUGCGCAACGGGAUAACCUAAGGUUCAAGGCGCAAAUCCAUCAGUCAAUGCUAUCUUUUGCAAUCUCGUGAGAUUUAUUGCUUCAUAUCCACAGUUGUAAGCCUAUUUGGCUCCUGUAUGCUGCUGUGCUUUUCUAACGUUUUGUUGGAUUUUAAGGGGCAUCUACUUGAUUGAAUAUAGUCUGUACAGAUUCACUUUGAAUCCUUAAACCUGCUGCUAUAAGGAAGUUUUUUUCCUUUCGGAACCACCAUGUAGGCAUAUGACGCAUUGGGAGAAAGUAAUUUGUUGCUAUAAGAAAAUGGGCGGAGGUUGAUGUGGGACUUCCGCAAGGCUGAGGUGGCGCUCGCGCAGCUGGAGAAUCCGGUGCAUACAGAUUCAACGAUUUUGCUUCCUCAUUAUUGACAAGCUGUGAUUUUGAUGCAAAGCCAAUGGUUAUGCUCUUGGGUCAAUAUUCUACAGGGAAAACAACAUUCAUUAAGCAUCUGCUGAAGACAAGCUACCCAGGAGCUCAUGUCGGACCAGAGUGUGACGACCGACCCCAAAUCUUCCAACUUAUGAGAGUGUAUGGUGCGCUGAUGUGGUCUCUUGGAAAAGUGCUAAAUACUCCUGAGGUUGUGCGUGUGUACAAUGGCUGGAUGUAGGGUGUCAACGAAAUACGAUACAACUUUCUGGCUGGUUUUGCGGCGGGGCUGUAAAAUUUAAUUUGCAACUUGAAGGGUACAAACAAGGGUUAUACUAGCAGUGAACAGCCCAUAUGUGGUUGGGGGCAACCAUUACGGCGUCGUCGUCUCCAUCAAGGUUCAGUCACUUGCGGUAGCACAUGUGUAACAGCUGCCAUUUUGGUCAUUUAAAGUGACUUGGAUGAAUUAGAAGUGAUUCAAGAAGAAAAGGAAAAGAAAUUAGCAAAAAAAAAAUCAAAUUCGGGUCAAAUUUGACCGAAAUUUGAAUUUUGAAUUUGAAAUUCAGAAAAAUUCGGCAAAAAUGUGGAUUAUAAGUGUAAGAGUAACUAGAACUGAAGGAUCAAGAAUUUGGAAUAGAACUGGUCCAAAUUAUCUCAAAGGAAUUAAAGAAGGGAAAAAGAAAACUGAAGUUACUGUUCCUCGUCUGAA